rnacentral:rRNA from 1 species
GAUGAACGCUGGCGGCGUGCCUAAUACAUGCGAGUCGAGCGAACAGACGAGGAGCUUGCUCCUCUGACGUUAGCGGCGGACGGGUGAGUAACACGUGGAUAACCUACCUAUAAGACUGGGAUAACUUCGGGAAACCGGAGCUAAUACCGGAUAAUAUAUUGAACCGCAUGGUUCAAUAGUGAAAGACGGUUUUGCUGUCACUUAUAGAUGGAUCCGCUCCGCAUUAGCUAGUUGGUAAGGUAACGGCUUACCAAGGCAACGAUGCGUAGCCGACCUGAGAGGGUGAUCGGCCACACUGUAACUGAGACACGGUCCAGACUCCUACGGGAGGCAGCAGUAGGGAAUCUUCCGCAAUGGGCGAAAUCCUGACGGAGCAACGCCGCGUGAGUGAUGAAGGUCUUCUGAUCGUAAAACUCUGUUAUUAGGGAAGAACAAAUGUGUAAGUAACUAUGCACGUCUUGACGGUACCUAAUCAGAAAGCCACGGCUAACUACGUG